rnacentral:rRNA from 1 species
UACGUAGGGGGCUAGCGUUGUCCGGAAUCAUUGGGCGUAAAGAGCGUGUAGGCGGUCUGGUAAGUCCGCUGUGAAAGUCGGGGGCUCAACCCUCGAAUGCCGGUGGAUACUGUCGGGCUAGAGUGCGGAAGAGGCGAGUGGAAUUCCUGGUGUAGCGGUGAAAUGCGCAGAUAUCAGGAGGAACACCUAUUGCGAAGGCAGCUCGCUGGGACGUAACUGACGCUGAGACGCGAAAGCGUGGGGAGCAAACAGG